ACCGGGAGAACUGAAACAUCUAAGUACCCCGAGGAAAAGAAAUCAACCGAGAUUUCGUCAGUAGCGGCGAGCGAAAGCGAAAGAGCCAGUAAGUGAUAGCAGUAUAGUGAGGAGAAUGUGUUGGGAAACACAAUCAAAGAGGGUGAUAAUCCCGUAUCUAAAAACCAUAUUGUGGUACUAAGCUAACGAGAAGUAGGGCGGGACACGUGAUAUCCUGUUUGAAGAAGGGGGG
rnacentral:rRNA from 1 species